UACGUAGGUGGCAAGCGUUGUCCGGAUUUACUGGGCGUAAAGCGCGCGCAGGCGGACUGAUCAGUCUGGGGUGAAAUCUCACGGCUCAACUGUGAGCGGUCCCUGGAUACUGUCAGUCUUGAGAGACCUAGAGGAGAGCGGAAUUCCCGGUGUAGUGGUGGAAUGCGUAGAUAUCGGGAAGAACACCAGUGGCGAAAGCGGCUCUCUGGGAGUUUUCUGACGCUGAGGCGCGAAAGCGUGGGGAGCGAACCGG
rnacentral:rRNA from 1 species